rnacentral:rRNA from 1 species
GUGGGGAAUCUUGCGCAAUGGGCGAAAGCCUGACGCAGCCAUGCCGCGUGAAUGAUGAAGGUCUUAGGAUUGUAAAAUUCUUUCACCGGGGACGAUAAUGACGGUACCCGGAGAAGAAGCCCCGGCUAACUUCGUGCCAGCAGCCGCGGUAAUACGAAGGGGGCUAGCGUUGCUCGGAAUUACUGGGCGUAAAGGGCGCGUAGGCGGACAGUUUAGUCAGAGGUGAAAGCCCAGGGCUCAACCUUGGAAUUGCCUUUGAUACUGGCUGUCUUGAGUACGGGAGAGGUGAGUGGAACUCCGAGUGUAGGGGUGAAAUUCGUAGAUAUUCGGAAGAACACCAGUGGCGAAGGCGACUCACUGGCCCGUUACUGACGCUGAGGCGCGAAAGCGUGGGGAGCAAACAGGAUUAGAAACCCUAGUAGUCC